rnacentral:rRNA from 1 species
AUGCCUGCGACGCCGGCGGCCAGCACCGGGUGCGCUGGGCUGCCGGCGCAACCUCCGACGAGCUCACUCCCCGGAUUUGAAGGCCCCCCUAGCCGGCUGGGCGUUCGGAGGCCGGCAUGGGUCGUCCGCACCGAGUCUAAUGUUAGGAGAGAAAGACCAAAACGACCUGAUCCUCCAUGCACCAUCUGCAAAGGCACUGGGACAAUAAAUUGCCGCAACUGUUUCGGUAGAGGAAGAAUAAAUCAUGUCGAUCUCGCCGUGCUCCCCAAGGGAGAAUGGCCGCAAUGGUGCCAAAUAUGCGGGGGUAGCGGCCUAGAUUACUGCCACCGGUGCCAUGGAACAGGUGAAUAUCGAGAACCCAUGGGCUUUCACUUCACAGUCAAUAGGAAAUGA